ncrna:unclassified sequences RAGATH-10 RNA
GAAACCUCAUCUUGCUCACACGUCAUUCGGAUGUAAGAGCAGUGUUUUUUAUAAAACACGGACAUUCUCGUCCGGGUGAGGAGAAAGG